rnacentral:rRNA from 1 species
GAUGAACGCUGGCGGCGUGCCUAAUACAUGCAAGUCGAGCGAACGGACGAGAAGCUUGCUUCUCUGAUGUUAGCGGCGGACGGGUGAGUAACACGUGGAUAACCUACCUAUAAGACUGGGAUAACUUCGGGAAACCGGAGCUAAUACCGGAUAAUAUUUUGAACCGCAUGGUUCAAAAGUAAAAGACGGUCUUGCUGUCACUUAUAGAUGGAUCCGCGCUGCAUUAGCUAGUUGGUAAGGUAACGGCUUACCAAGGCAACGAUGCAUAGCCGACCUGAGAGGGUGAUCGGCCACACUGGAACUGAGACACGGUCCAGACUCCUACGGGAGGCAGCAGUAGGGAAUCUUCCGCAAUGGGCGAAAGCCUGACGGAGCAACGCCGCGUGAGUGAUGAAGGUCUUCGGAUCGUAAAACUCUGUUAUUAGGGAAGAAUAUAUGUGUAAGUAACUGUGCACAUCUUGACGGUACCUAAUCAGAAAGCCACGGCUAACUACGUGCCAGCAGCCGCGGUAAUACGUAGGUGGCAAGCGUUAUCCGGAAUUAUUGGGCGUAAAGCGCGCGUAGGCGGUUUUUUAAGUCUGAUGUGAAAGCCCACGGCUCAACCGUGGAGGGUCAUUGGAAACUGGAAAACUUGAGUGCAGAAGAGGAAAGUGGAAUUCCAUGUGUAGCGGUGAAAUGCGCAGAGAUAUGGAGGAACACCAGUGGCGAAGGCGACUUUCUGGUCUGUAACUGACGCUGAUGUGCGAAAACGUGGGGAUCAAACAGGAUUAGAUACCCUGGUAGUCCACGCCGUAAACGAUGAGUGCUAAGUGUUAGGGGGUUUCCGCCCCUUAGUGCUGCAGCUAACGCAUUAAGCACUCCGCCUGGGGAGUACGACCGCAAGGUUGAAACUCAAAGGAAUUGACGGGGACCCGCACAAGCGGUGGAGCAUGUGGUUUAAUUCGAAGCAACGCGAAGAACCUUACCAAAUCUUGACAUCCUUUGACAACUCUAGAGAUAGAGCCUUCCCCUUCGGGGGACAAAGUGACAGGUGGUGCAUGGUUGUCGUCAGCUCGUGUCGUGAGAUGUUGGGUUAAGUCCCGCAACGAGCGCAACCCUUAAGCUUAGUUGCCAUCAUUAAGUUGGGCACUCUAAGUUGACUGCCGGUGACAAACCGGAGGAAGGUGGGGAUGACGUCAAAUCAUCAUGCCCCUUAUGAUUUGGGCUACACACGUGCUACAAUGGACAAUACAAAGGGCAGCGAAACCGCGAGGUCAAGCAAAUCCCAUAAAGUUGUUCUCAGUUCGGAUUGUAGUCUGCAACUCGACUACAUGAAGCUGGAAUCGCUAGUAAUCGUAGAUCAGCAUGCUACGGUGAAUACGUUCCCGGGUCU